UCUAGGUGGCUCCCAUUUUGGCUUCAGUGUUUCCAAGCGCAUGGAGGAAAGCGCGUUCUUUCUUAUUUAUCUUCGGUAAUGAACAUAGUAUUCUCCGUAUUAAAUGUUUUCAUUUAUUUGCGUAUUAGGAUACCUAAGGUUUGAUUAUAAAUGUUGUUUGACUUGUUUGGAAAAGUUUAUUAGUAACGUUUGGGAUUAAUUUUGUAUGCAUUUUGAUGGAGGGAAACUGAGUGGAUUAUUGACUGAAGCGCGCCAGCUAAACUGAGUUUUAUGGAUAUAAAGAAGGACUUUAUCGAACAAAAGGACCAUUUGUAAUGUAACUGAGAUCUUUUGGAGUGCCAACAGAAUGAGAUCUUCAAAGGUUUGGUGAAUGGACCAACCAGACCCUCAGUACUGCCAUGGGCAAGUCCCUUAAUUGGUACCAGGAAGGGUGGGAGAACAUCAUGAAGGUAAUUCUCUUUGCACACAACAGCAUCAUCCAGGCUUCCGCCGAGUACAGACGGGAGCCGCAGCUGUUGACUGAGAUCACUGAAACCCAACCUGAUGUGGUGGAAGUUGUCGAACCAGAUCAGAACGCCUUCGAGGACCACCUUCAGGGACGGACUGAGAAGGAUGUGGAAGUUUUUGACCAGGUGAGACUGAACAUCGACGAGGAGCAGGAGAAACAGAAGGAGAGCUACUGGAGCAGAAUCAAGAAGGGGACUAAGUGCUAUGACAUCCGGGCGUAUUAUUUGGUUUGGAAGAUGGACGAAAGGAAGAUGAACCUGGGAAACCUCGCUGCUCUUUCGCUCCUAGCUGAGGUCACCAUCUGUUAAAGGUUUACCUUGGUGGAAUCCAACAAUCUUCUCGUUGGAGUAGUUGGUCAGUGAACCACUGAAAGCCCUGAUGCCCUACACUUCAGUCAAGCGCAAUAGACAAAGACCAUCGACUCUCCGAGCCCCCAAGGAGAUAUGCCACCCACCAGAACCAGUGAGUUCGGAUCAGUCUGAUUGUCUGUGCUCUGAGUCGGAGGGGGACCAUCUUGAGGACCUAGGGGUUCUGCCCAACACCCAGACGUGGAUCCACCUGAUGUCCUUCAUUACAAACCACCCUCCUACUUUUUGUUACAUCAUCUACAGCAACUGUUAUUGUCAUAUUGUCAUUAUCUGCUAAGAAAGUUUUCUUGCUCUAUCAUACUGGGCCAAUAUAUGUGAAAUUCACAGAUUAACUGAAAACACUAGCACUGCAAACACUCAGAACAAAGAGAGCAGCAGUGCCUGGACUUUGUAGUCUCCCUCUUCAAUUCCCCCUUCCAUGACUGGCUCCCAGUUGAGAACAAGUGACAGGCAAGAACCUCCCACCCACACAGCAAUCACCUCCUCUAUAAUCCACACAUCAGAAUUCAGUAUUUUAGUCUAUGCCAUGUGAGUGGACAAAAAAUUUACCAAAAACUAUCAAAGUUUGUAUUAAAAUCUUAACUAUUGCCAGGUUGGUUUUCAUAGCUGUUUCACAAGGUGUUCAUUAUUGUAUAUUGUAAGGUAUGCUUUGAUGGUAUUUAUUUGUUCCACAUUAUUCAUUGUUGUAUCCUGGGACCUACAAUACAUACAUACAGUUGAAGUCGGAAGUUUACAUACACUUAGGUUGGUGUCAUUAAAACUUGUUUUUCAACCACUCCACACAUUUCUUGUUAACAAACUAUAGUUUUGGCAAGUCGAUUAAGGCAUCUACUUUGUGCAUGACACAAGACAUUUUUCAAAAAAUAGUUUACAGACAGAUUGUUUCACUUAUAAUUCACUGUAUCACAAUUCCAGUGGGUCAGAAGUUUACAUACACUAAGUUGACUGUGCCUUUAAACAGCUUGGGAAAUUCCAGAAAAUGAUGUCAUGGCUUUAGAAGCUUCUGAUAGGCUAAUUGAUAUAAUAUGAGUCAAUUGGGGGUGUACCUGUAUUUCAAGGCCUACCGUCAAACUCAGUGCCUCUUUACUUGACAUCAUGGGAAAUUCUAAAGAAAUCAGCCAAGACCUCAGAAAAAAAAUUGUAGACAUCGACAAGUCUGGUUCAUCCUUGGGCGAAAUGUCCAAAUGCCUGAAGGUACCACAUUCAUCUGUGUAAAGAAUAGUACGCAAGUAUAAACAUCAUAGGACCAUGCAACUGUCAUACCGCUCAGGAAGGAUCUCCUAGAGAUGAACGUACUUUGGUGCGAAAAGUGCAAAUCAAUCCCAGAACAACAGCAAAGGACCUGGUGAAGAUGCUGGAGGGAACAGGUACAAAUGUACCUAUAUCCACAGUAAAACGAGUCCUAUAUCGACAUAACCUGAACGGCCGCUCAGUAAGGAAGAAGCCACUGCUCCAAAAUGGCCAUAAAAACGCCAGACUACGGUUUGCAACUGCACAUGGGGACAAAGAUCGUACUUUUUGGAGAAAUGUCCUCUGGUCUGAUGAAACAAAAAUAGAACAGUUUGGCCAUAAUGACCAUCGUUACAUUUGGAGGAAAAGGGGGACGCUUGCAAGCCGAAGAACACCAUCCCAACUGUGAAGCACGGGGGUGGCAGCAUCAUGUUGUGGGGGUGCUUUGCUGCAGGAGGGAAUGGUGCACUUCACAAAAUAGAUGGCAUCAUGAGGUGGGAAAAUAUGUGGACAUAUUGAAGAAACAUCUCAAGACAUCAGUCAGGAAGUUAAAGCUUGGUCACAAAUGGGUCUUCUAAAUGGACAAUGACCCCAAGCAUACUUCCAAAGUUGUGGCAAAAUGGCUUGAGGACAACAAAGUCAAGGUAUUGGAAUGGCCAUCACUAAGCCCUGACCUCAAUCCUAUAGAAAAUAUGUGGGCAGAACUGAAAAAGCGUACGUGAGCAAGGAGGCCUACAAACCUGACUCAGUUACACCAGCUCUGUCAGGAGGAAUGGGCCAAAAUUCACCCAACUUAUUGUGGGAAGCUUGUGGAAGGCAACCUGAAACGUUUGACUCAAGUUAAACAAUUUAAAGGCAAUGCUACCAAAUACUAAUUGAGUGUAUGUAAACUUCUGACCCACUGGGAAUGUGAUGACAGAAAUAAAAGCUGAAAUAAAUCAUUCUCUCUACUGUUAUUCUGACAUUUCACAUUCUUAAAAUAAAGUGGUGAUCCUAACUGACCUAAAAUAGGGAAUUCUUACGAGGAUUAAAUGUCAGGAAUUUUGAAGAACUGAGUUUAAAUGUAUUUGGCUAAGGUGUAUGUAAACCUCCGACUUUAUACUUUUACAUUUGAUACUUAAGUGUAUUUAGCAAUUACAUUUACUUUUCAUACUUAAGUAUAUUUACAACCAAAUACUUUUACUCAAGUAGUAUUUUACUGGGUGACUCACUUUUACUUGAGUCAUUUUCUAUUAAGGUAUCUAUACUUUUACUCAAGUAUGACAAUAGGGUACUUUAACACCACUGAAUUUACAUUACUGUAGCAUAAUCUUUCAGCACUUCUAAGGGCAAUCUGAAACACAUAUCUUGCAUUGUUUGCUAUUGUAUUAACUGGUAAUUAAAACAACCACAUUGAAAAGAUAUCAUUAUGUUGUGCAGUGGUGUAAAGUACUUAAGUAAAAAUACUAUAAAUUACUAUUUAACCUGUUGGGGCUACAGGUUAGCAAUGAACCCCGAGUCGGGAUUGCUAACAAGGCUGGAAAUUCAAAACAUCAAAAAUCUAAUAAUUUCAAUUUCUCAAACCAUCAACUAUUUUACACAAUUUAAAAGAUAAACAUCUCCUUAAUCUAACCACAUUGUUCGAUUUUCAAAGAGGCUUUACGGCAAAAGCAUAAAGUUAGAUUAUGUUAGGACAGUACAUAGCCACAAAAGUACAAACAUCCAUUUUCAAUUCAAGGUCAGGCGUCACCAAAAGCAGAAACCAGCUAGAAUUAUGCACUAACCUUUGUCAAUCUCCAUCAGAUGACACUCCUAGGACAUUAUGUUAUACAAUACAUGCAUUUUUUGUUCCAUCAAGUUCAUAUUUAUAUCCAAAAACAGCAUUUUACAGUAGCGUGAAAUUCAGAUUUUUUUCUUCUCAGAAAUGCUUCCGGUGAACAUAACAAAAUUACUAUUCGAAAACAUUGGUAAAUUAUAAUAUUGUCAUUCAAAGAAUAAUAUAUUAUCAUCUCGUAAUUGCUACCGAAUGGCCAGAUCUCAAAAUAACUUUACUGGGAAAUCACAUUUUGCAAUAAACGGGGUGCUAUGCUAAGAACAACAGGCUAUGCUAUACAGUUAGCAUCAUCUAAAAUCGAUAAUAACAUUGUAAAUACCCCCUUACCUUUGAUUAUCUCCAUCAGAAGGCAGGAUCCCAGGUCCGGAAGGCAUUCCAGGUCCGGAACAAAUGUGGUUUCUUUUGACAAAGUUCAUAAUUUAUGUCCAAAUAACACCAAGUACUUAGCGUUCAUUAUGCUCCCACAAAACGUGGUUGGGGGGCUGGUAAAAUCACGCC
rnacentral:lncRNA from 1 species